AUUGAACGCUGGCGGCAGGCCUAACACAUGCCAGUCGAGCGGAUGAAGGGAGCUUGCUCCUGGAUUCAGCGGCGGACGGGUGAGUAAUGCCUAGGAAUCUGCCUGGUAGUGGGGGAUAACGUCCGGAAACGGGCGCUAAUACCGCAUACGUCCUGAGGGAGAAAGUGGGGGAUCUUCGGACCUCACGCUAUCAGAUGAGCCUAGGUCGGAUUAGCUAGUUGGUGGGGUAAAGGCCUACCAAGGCGACGAUCCGUAACUGGUCUGAGAGGAUGAUCAGUCACACUGGAACUGAGACACGGUCCAGACUCCUUCGGGAGGCAGCAGUGGGGAAUAUUGGACAAUGGGCGAAAGCCUGAUCCAGCCAUGCCGCGUGUGUGAAGAAGGUCUUCGGAUUGUAAAGCACUUUAAGUUGGGAGGAAGGGCAGUAAGUUAAUACCUUGCUGUUUUGACGUUACCAACAGAAUAAGCACCGGCUAACUUCGUG
rnacentral:rRNA from 1 species